rnacentral:lncRNA from 1 species
UUUCUUAAUGCAGCUUUCCCUUUUUUAUCCUAUACGCCGAGGGUCGAUUGGAAACAGCCUCUCUGCCCUUUCGGGCAGGGGUAAGGCUCGUCUACAUAUCACCCUUCCCAGACCCCACCCAGUGGGAAUAUACUGGGUAGUUAUUGUUGUUGUUGUUGUUGUUGUAAAAUAAAUGGGGCCCUCACGAACAUGAGGCCUAAAGCAGUUGCUUGGGCUGCUUCACCCUGAAGCCACCUCUGAGUUAAGUUGGUGUAUUCCUUGGCUGGAUUGUCUAGGGUAUUUCCGGUUAGAUCCAAAGUCCUUUUGGGAUAAAGUGAUGCAAAUGCAAAGUCAGAAUAGUUGGAUGCUUCUUUAGCUUAAUGGAUCUGCUGAUGCUCUCUCUUGUACUUUAUUUUAGGAAGAUGAACUUUGUAGAUUUGCAGCUCAUUCAAUUAUUGCAUCUAGUUGAGAAGGUCUUUUGCAGGUUGGAAAAUAAUGUGUAAAAGCUUCAGAGAAAUCGUCAAUUAACUUGCCCCUUUUACUUGUACUCUGUUUACAUUUUGUGAAAGUCUGGUGGAUUUGGGUGGAACUCGUAAACCUUCAUACUUCAUUAGCUUGUUCAUGGAUAGAAUAGAAAUCAGUGAAGUUGAGUUGCAAACUUUUGUUUUCUGGUUUAAGCAGAGCAAGAUUCCCAUCUUACAUAAUUGGUAUAUAAAGCCAAAAGGAAGCCGCGACUGCCGUGACAUGGCUCCAAGGUCCUGCAUUGUGAAGUCCCUGCAUUGCUGUGUUUCAGAGAGCAGCAGAUAGCGACGGUUGGCUUUGGUAGCGGAACAAGACUAUUGCCUUUAUUUGACAUUCUACCUUUUUAUUUUUGCUUUUUGCUGUAUUCUGGGGACUAUGGAUCUCAUUGUUCUUUUUGUGUUCCCAUUCAACUCUAUUAUAUCAGUUUCAAGUAUCUUUCUGUUUAUCAGAGUUUAAAGCUUCACAAUUUCAGAGUUUUCCUUCUAAAAGCCUGGAUUGGUAUUUACACAGUCACAUUGCUGGAAACUCCUGAAACUGCGUGCUCAUAAUGUGUCCUUUUGGACAAAAAGCUGAUAAUCCAUGUGUACUGACAUUUUGUGGCUACCUUUUUCCCUUGCACUAAAGACUCUAAACUCUAAAAGCCCCUAACCCUCCAUUUUUUAAGUUGGUUUGAAAAUUAAAUCCAACUGUAUAAGUAGAAUGAAGCCGCUAGAUUGACCAAGUACAAAGACAGAUUUAUAAUCUGCUGAUGCAUGUAAACUUCAAGUUUUCUCCAAAUUGACAAUAAAAAACAUGUUUGGCCAGGAGGUUCCUUUUUCUUAUGGCUGAAAAAUGUUUAGCUAGCAUGAAGUUUGAAUAGGUUUAUGUGGCAACACUCUUGUAGGGUGUAUCAGAAGUUCUACUUACGGUGUAUUUUUUCUUGUGAUGAUGCAGGCGCCUGUGAAAUUCAGGACCUGUGGGAAUAAGGAAAAUGUCUUAAACUUCUCCUUGGGUGAACUCAUGUUGAGAGGACUUUACAUCAGUUUUCUUCCUUCACUUGAUGGUUUGUCCGCGGCCGAUGAACCUUAAACUUUUAAGGUUAAUUGAAUUUGCCAGAAAAAUAAAAGAACAGCGUUGAGCUAAAAGAUUGUUGUGGAAAUUAAUAUUUUUGGCCUGGUAUGCUUGGUAACUUGCUGAGGUUUUGGUUUGUAGUUUGAUGCUUGGCAAACCAUACUACUGAAGGUCCUGAACUGCUACAUAACAUCAGUUUCUGUUUAAAUGCGAGUGUCAGUAGAAAUUGAAGUGAAAGUCGGCCCUUGUAAAGGUUUAUAGAAUGGUGUUUUAAAGCUAGCGCGUACAUUUUCUACCUAUUAAUAUCCCAGGAGUGGCUAGUAUGAGAAAUAAAACCAUACUUUUUCACUUGUUUUAACUAGGGAAAGAUUAAGAGGGUAAACGUUGUUGAAGAUCAGCAAGUUAUCAAGCAGAAAUAUAGAACUAUCAGAAAAUGGAUCCUUUCGUCAUAACUAUCAUUUGUACUCACAUGCCUAAUCAUGACAUAUGGGAAAAGGAUAAAAGGAAAUGGAAAUUUUCCCCAAAAUGUGCACUUUUGGCUCAACAAUACUAGUGGUGUAUUAAUAACAUAAAUGUGUAGAAUACAAUUUAAGGACAAAGCAUAGUUGAAAAAACAAAUGGGAGUACUUAUUAACCGAAUGAUAUUUAUGAGGU